CCCUUCCAAGCUGCAUGGCCAGACCAUCCGCCCGGCGGCCAGUGGGUUUCUAGCCCCUCAGCCCAACGACCCACCCGGCCCGGAGCAGCCUCAGGAAUCGGGGAGAGCCUCCUACCGGGGGUGAGUGGAUUUAUGGACACAGUGUUAUGGAAAUUCCUACUGGAAGGAAGCAACGAUUUCUGAAACCUUACCCCUGAUUACAUAAGCCUCAGACAGAAUACCAUUUCUGAGCGAGAGAAACUUCCAGGAGCAGAAAGGAGGAUAGGGUAUACAAGACAUGGAUUCACAGACAGGCUAUGGAUGUAGCAAGCAGUAUCCCGAGGAGGUCCAACCUUACCAUAUUACUAGUAAGACCUUGAGCCCAAAGGAGGUAUCCUAAGAAGCAACUGUUCCAGCUGAUGAUAAUACAUAAAGGAGCACGAAUAUAACCAUAUUGCUACUUCACAUACCUUGGAAUUGAAUGCUUCUUUGCACUUACUUCGCGAGGGGCUCACUUGCUGCAGAUUAAGCCCAUUGUGAAACUCUGCUCCUUAUUCAGAGUUUGAGGGCAGAUUGGACUCACUGCAUCCAUUAAGUGGGCUGAUGUUGUCUACGCCCCAAUCAGAAGUGCUCAUCUUUUAUUCAGAAGGUUGGCCAAGAACAAACACACUGAAGGAGGGUGAUAUGUGUGAGCCAAUAUCAUAUUUCCAGAAUACUUUGUAUUUAGGCUAAGUUAUAUAAAUACAAACUGUACUCCUGGAAUGCCUUUUUCUCUCCCCAUGCAUACAUGUGGGUCAAUUAUGCCUGUUCCCAGCUACCACAAUAAAUCCAGUAUCCAAAGUGAGCCAGAUCACCAGCAUGAGGUUGGGAAAUAAAUAUCAGGUUUUUAAUGUACACAGUGAUCCACUAACCUUAAAUUUAAAAACAUUAUUGGUUCAAAAAGACACACCCAUAAUUCAGAGUAGGGGUGACAUACACUAAAUAGAAAAGGUUCUAGAUCUACUACAGGAUGGUAGCUUGGACAUAUUAAUUUCUAAUAUACAGACAAAGAUUACUUUAAGGCUUAAAUUGUUUUUUCUAAUGUUUUUGAUUUUGUUGAUAUUUUUGUAUUUUUGCUCACAAGCUGUGGUAAAAUAAUAUCCCAUAUGAACGCUGCUCUGCUUCAUACAUGCAUUUAUCAAAGGUGUUCUCCCGAUGCUCUGAAUCAAGGUGACAAAGGGGUAGGAGGACUGUUAGCCAAUAUUAUAUAUUCCCAGAAUGCUUUGUAUUUAGGCUAAGUUGUAUAACUAUAAACUAUACUCCCUAAAUGCCUUGUAUUUAUGCUAAGCUUUAUUGUAGAAAUCUACUAGCAGUUAUACUGUUGUAACUUCUGUUUUUGUAGAAUCUGUCAGAUGGAAGAAAUACGUUUUUGCUGAGGUUUGUCAGAUAUGAACUGUAUGCUAGGUAGAGUAGUGUAAAUGUCUCUACAAUCUACUGACAUCUGGAACGUUAUGCACAAACCCCAGAUAAGAAACAAUGUGUAAAAUCUGUGGAUUUUUUUAUCUGUCAUAAACAAAGGGAAUAUAAAUAUGAGCAAAAUUAAGUUCAGAAUUUGGAACAGAGAAACAAUGUAACUGAUGCAAGACUGUUCUCGAGAUUGAUACUGUAUUAACCUUUCUGUAUUGUGCUGAGAUCAAUCUUUGAUUAAUAAAUUGAUUGAGCCUGGUUAUCAGACAUUUUAUCAAUAAAUAUUU